CUCUCGGCCUAGUUGUUAGGCUUUGAGCCUGUGUCUAGAUUUGUAGGCCUCAAAGCCUCGUUCUCGGCCUAGUUCUUAGGCUUUGAGCCUGUGUCUUGAGGCUGCGAGAGGGAGA